UGCUACUCACCUUCGUGUGAGCGAUGCUUCUCGAUCCUGUAUAAGUGGUUCAUCGGAUGAAAUCCGACGGUCGACCAGGUUGACUUGCUUAAAGUGCAUAAUCGCGUGUCAUGCGACUUAAAUGCAUUUUAGUCAGGUUAAUUUGGGCAGUUCCGCCACACUAAGUUAAUUCGAGCGGUUCCGCCAUAGCUGGUACCAAAGCAGGUUAGCAGGACAGAGAAGACAAUAGAUCCUAA
rnacentral:lncRNA from 1 species